UGCCAGCAGCCGCGGUAAUACGGAGGGGGCUAGCGUUGUUCGGAAUUACUGGGCGUAAAGCGCACGUAGGCGGAUUGGAAAGUAUGGGGUGAAAUCCCAGGGCUCAACCCUGGAACUGCCUCAUAAACUCCCAGUCUUGAGACCGGAAGAGGGUAGUGGAAUUCCCAGUGUAGAGGUGAAAUUCGUAGAUAUUGGGAAGAACACCGGUGGCGAAGGCGACCACCUGGCUCGGAUCUGACGCUGAGGUGCGAAAGCGUGGGGAGCAAACAGGAUUAGAUA
rnacentral:rRNA from 1 species